rnacentral:rRNA from 1 species
UGCGUAGGCGGAAUUGUAAGUCAGUGGUGAAAUCCUGCAGCUCAACUGUAGAACUGCCAUUGAUACUGCUUUUCUUGAGUAUAGUUGAGGUGGGCGGAAUGUGUCAUGUAGCGGUGAAAUGCUUAGAUAUUACACAGAACACCGAUUGCGAAGGCAGCUUACUGGGCCAUUACUGACGCUGAGGCACGAAAGCGUGGGGAGCGAACAGGAUUAGAUACCCUGGUAGUCC